AUCUUGUUCUAUCAUGAAAGUUAACAAUGAGUUUAUGUGAUAUUCAGGGGUGCUGUUCAAACAAGUAGGUAGCUUGCAUGAAUUCUUCUUGCGGGAAUUGUGCAGAAUCCUGGACAAUUUGGUCUCCCGAUAACCACUUUGGUGUCCUGUUAUGGAACAAGUUAUACACCACUCUGAGAUGUAGAAAUGGUGAUCGUUUCUUACAUCUUCAAAUUCUGGAAAAUAUAUAAGCACAAUCCAACUCCCCGUUGGCUGAGAGAAAAUCUAUAUGUUACACUGAUCACCCAGAUAAUUGAAUGGUGCAUGGCUAAGUUGUUGUGGAGAAUGGGGGCUAAUUUGUUGAUUGCAAGGUGGCAAAUGGGGGCCAAGUUGUUGAUUGCAAGGUGGAGA